rnacentral:rRNA from 1 species
CUCCUUCGGGAGGGGAUUAGUGGCGAACGGGUGAGUAACACGUGGGCAAUCUGCCCUGCACUCUGGGACAAGCCCUGGAAACGGGGUCUAAUACCGGAUACUGAUCAUCUUGGGCAUCCUUGGUGAUCGAAAGCUCCGGCGGUGCAGGAUGAGCCCGCGGCCUAUCAGCUUGUUGGUGAGGUAAUGGCUCACCAAGGCGACGACGGGUAGCCGGCCUGAGAGGGCGACCGGCCACACUGGGACUGAGACACGGCCCAGACUCCUACGGGAGGCAGCAGUGGGGAAUAUUGCACAAUGGGCGAAAGCCUGAUGCAGCGACGCCGCGUGAGGGAUGACGGCCUUCGGGUUGUAAACCUCUUUCAGCAGGGAAGAAGCGAAAGUGACGGUACCUGCAGAAGAAGCGCCGGCUAACUACGUGCCAGCAGCCGCGGUAAUACGUAGGGCGCGAGCGUUGUCCGGAAUUAUUGGGCGUAAAGAGCUCGUAGGCGGCUUGUCGCGUCGGUUGUGAAAGCCCGGGGCUUAACCCCGGGUCUGCAGUCGAUACGGGCAGGCUAGAGUUCGGUAGGGGAGAUCGGAAUUCCUGGUGUAGCGGUGAAAUGCGCAGAUAUCAGGAGGAACACCGGUGGCGAAGGCGGAUCUCUGGGCCGAUACUGACGCUGAGGAGCGAAAGCGUGGGGAGCGAACAGGAUUAGAUACCCUGGUAGU